rnacentral:misc_RNA from 1 species
UGUCCGUUGGUGAACCAGCGGAGGGAUCAUUACAGAGUUGCAAAACUCCCAAACCAUUGUGAACGUUACCUAUCCCGUUGCUUCGGCGGGCGGCCCGGGCCCCGCGCCCGGCGCCCCCCGGCCCCCCGUGGGCGCCCGCCGGAGGUAAACCAAACCCUUGAAUUGCAUGGCCUCUCUGAGUCUUCUGUACUGAAUAAGUCAAAACUUUCAACAACGGAUCUCUUGGUUCUG